CAGUCGCCGCGGGAAUACGUAGGUGGCAAGCGUUGUCCGGAAUUAUUGGGCGUAAAGGGCUCGCAGGCGGUUUCUUAAGUCUGAUGUGAAAGCCCCCGGCUCAACCGGGGAGGGUCAUUGGAAACUGGGAAACUUGAGUGCAGAAGAGGAGAGUGGAAUUCCACGUGUAGCGGUGAAAUGCGUAGAGAUGUGGAGGAACACCAGUGGCGAAGGCGACUCUCUGGUCUGUAACUGACGCUGAGGAGCGAAAGCGUGGGGAGCAAACAGGAUUAGAUACCCCCGUAGUCCCUGUCUCUUAUAC
rnacentral:rRNA from 1 species